CCACUUGGAGGGUCAUCGGGAUUACGGAUCAUCAACUUCGGUUGCGCUUGAUCAGCAUCAACGCACACGAUUCGUCGGGCAACGAGGCUACGUGUUAAUUUCAUUCAUCACCUGUGGAUGGCAUAACAACCGUGAGAUCGUUCCAACCUACUCCUCAAUAUAUAAAAUCAUUUGCUGUACUGCAUAAUUUAAAAUCAUUUGUCAUUUUAUUCUUGUACAUUGCCUCUCAUUUUUAUUCUAUUUAUAUUCAUCUCAUUCAUCAUAAUCAACUAGAUUUUCUUAGUCUCAUUUAUCGUCAUAUUUGAACAUUAUAACGCCUGACAUCAUUCUAUAGCAAAAUUGCAUUUCUGUGUUAUUUCUUUUCUAUAUUGCCUGUUUGCUUGUGCCUUCUUUAAAACAUACACCUAGUUGGCUUCUAUUUUAUUUUAAGCUUUACUCUUUCUUCCUCAUUAUGUCCGAGUCUCAAAUAAAAACGUUGAUUAAAAAACGAGGUUCUAUAAAGGCCAAGCUUACACAAUUUUCGAAUUAUGUUGAACUAUCUAAAUCUUGUAAAAAAUUAAGCGAAUUGCAGACUAUAGAACUGGAGUUCAGGCUGGCUGCUAUUGAGGCCCUACAUGAAAAGUAUGACGCCUUGCAGGACGAGUUGGAGAUGUUGGCGGACGACCCCGACGAGCAAUAUGCGGAACGCGAAGAAUUUGAUAAACUAUACUGCAGUCUAGUGGCUACUGCUCGCCAGCUGAUCACUAUCGCGCGCAGAGAGUUGAAUGCAGACAUCGCGUCCGAGCGCUCGUGAAUGUGGUGGAUACUAACGGAAAGCUCCAUACCGCACGGGUCUUGCUGGACAACGGGAGCACAGCCAACUUUGUUUCAGAGGAUUUCUGCCAUGCGUCUGAGCGAGCUUACGGUGCCUGCGUCUUCGUGCGCAGCAUACAUGCCGAUGGCUCUGUUCACGUUCAUCUACUUAGUUCCAAGAGCAAGGUAGCUCCUAUAAAACCAGCUACUAUGCCCCGACUCGAACUAUGUGCAGCCUUGAUGGGCGCUCGAUUGCAUUCUAAGCUCUCAACCGAUUUAUUGCUCGGAGGGGGAAACCACGCCACAUCUUCUCGGACAAUGGUAGUACUUUCGUCGGGGCCUUCAAUGAGCUAGCACAGCUUCUAGCACAGGAUCUCGACCUAAAUAAAAUCGAUCCAGGAAAAAUCCAAAUGGCAUCGCUCUACCAGAGGAGAACUAAAGGAAGGGGCUCUCGUUGUAAUCAAGGACAAGACCUCUCCGCAUCUUAUGUGGCUGAUGGGACGAGUCAUCCGUGUGCUACCAGGGAGUGACGGCGUCGCAAGAGUUGCAGACAUACGCACACGCAAGGGUGUGCUCAGACGGGCAUUCAACACUAUUUGCCCCCUGCCUCUACAGUGACUCUACCUUGAAGACCACGGCUCUUCAACAGGGGGAGCAUGUUGGAGCCGCCUUAACUGCGGCUGAUGAACCGGUUGUGUAGCCGGACGCCAGAGGGGAGCCGCCGGAGAGGGGAGGCAACGGUCGUCGACCCACUCGGCAGUGCCACGUCCCGCAGUCGCGUCAAACCCUAUCAGCACGACACCCGCGCACGCGCAUCUACCUAUUUACAAUAUUUCCGCAUACGAUAACCAGUUACUUUGUGCUGUCAAUAAACAUUUAACUACA